rnacentral:tRNA from 1 species
GUGGGGUAGUAUCCUGCAAGUUUA